rnacentral:misc_RNA from 1 species
GCAAACUUGGUCAUUUAGAGGAAGUAAAAGUCGUAACAAGGUUUCCGUAGGUGAACCUGCGGAAGGAUCAUUAACAAAGUGUAAUCCUUUAUCCACCUUGUGUGCAACUCAAGAAAAAGCCUGCUCCGGAAAGGUUAUUUUUUAAUCUUUCCGGAGAGGUCAUCACGAUCAAUCAUUUUUUUCUUUUCUGUUUUAUCUAAAAACGCAAAUUUGAAAUGAAAAACAACUUUCAACAACGGAUCUCUUGGCUCUCGCAUCGAUGAAGAACGCAGC